UCCCUCUCAGGAUGGUACCUGGAGAGUUUCCAGUACCCUACCAGUCUCAGCCAUAGGAGGGAGAGUCAAGCAGAGGCCUACCUAUUCCAUUCCUAGCUUGGCAAGCAGCUAGCAAAGUGGAAGGCCAUUUGCUACAAGU